CCUACGGGAGACAGCAGUGAGGAAUAUUGGUCAAUGGACGAGAGCCUGAACCAGCCAAGUAGCGUGAAGGAUGACUGUUCUAUGGGUCGUAAACUUCUUUUAUAAAGGAAUAAAACGUGGCACGUGUGCCUUUUUGUAUGUACUUUAUGAAUAAGGAUCGGCUAACUCCGUGCCAGCAGCCGCGGUAAUACGGAGGAUCCGAGCGUUAUCCGGAUUUAUUGGGUUUAAAGGGAGCGUAGAUGGGUUGUUAAGUCAGUGGUGAAAGUUUGCGGCUCAACCGUAAAAUUGCAAUUGAUACUGGCAGUCUUGAGUACAGUUGAGGUAGGCGGAAUUCGUGGUGUAGCGGUGAAAUGCUUAGAUAUCACGAAGAACCCCGAUUGCGAAGGCAGCUUACUAAGCUGUGACUGACAUUGAUGCUCGAAAGUGUGGGUAUCAAACAGGAUUAGAUACCCCAGUAUUC
rnacentral:rRNA from 1 species